rnacentral:rRNA from 1 species
AAGGUGGCCUGUGAGGGUUGCUGGAGGUAUCAGAAGUGCGAAUGCUGACAUAAGUAACGAUAAAGCGGGUGAAAAGCCCGCUCGCCGGAAGACCAAGGGUUCCUGUCCAACGUUAAUCGGGGCAGGGUGAGUCGACCCCUAAGGCGAGGCCGAAAGGCGUAGUCGAUGGGAAACGGGUUAAUAUUCCCGUACUUGGUGUUACUGCGAAGGGGGGACGGAGAAGGCUAUGUUGGCCGGGCGACGGUUGUCCCGGUUUAAGCGUGUAGGUGUGUGUUCCAGGUAAAUCCGGUUCACUUUAACACUGAGGCGUGACGACGAGGCACUACGGUGCUGAAGCAACAAAUGCCCUGCUUCCAGGAAAAGCCUCUAAGCAUCAGGUAACAUCAAAUCGUACCCCAAACCGACACAGGUGGUCAGGUAGAGAAUACCAAGGCGCUUGAGAGAACUCGGGUGAAGGAACUAGGCAAAAUGGUGCCGUAACUUCGGGAGAAGGCACGCUGACACGUAGGUGAAGUGAUUUACUCACGGAGCUGAAGUCAGUCGAAGAUACCAGCUGGCUGCAACUGUUUAUUAAAAACACAGCACUGUGCAAACACGAAAGUGGACGUAUACGGUGUGACGCCUGCCCGGUGCCGGAAGGUUAAUUGAUGGGGUCAGCGCAAGCGAAGCUCCUGAUCGAAGCCCCGGUAAACGGCGGCCGUAACUAUAACGGUCCUAAGGUAGCGAAAUUCCUUGUCGGGUAAGUUCCGACCUGCACGAAUGGCGUAAUGAUGGCCAGGCUGUCUCCACCCGAGACUCAGUGAAAUUGAACUCGCUGUGAAGAUGCAGUGUACCCGCGGCAAGACGGAAAGACCCCGUGAACCUUUACUAUAGCUUGACACUGAACAUUGAGCCUUGAUGUGUAGGAUAGGUGGGAGGCUUUGAAGCGUGGACGCCAGUCUGCGUGGAGCCGACCUUGAAAUACCACCCUUUAAUGUUUGAUGUUCUAACGUGGACCCGUGAUCCGGGUUGCGGACAGUGUCUGGUGGGUAGUUUGACUGGGGCGGUCUCCUCCUAAAGAGUAACGGAGGAGCACGAAGGUUGGCUAAUCCUGGUCGGACAUCAGGAGGUUAGUGCAAUGGCAUAAGCCAGCUUGACUGCGAGCGUGACGGCGCGAGCAGGUGCGAAAGCAGGUCAUAGUGAUCCGGUGGUUCUGAAUGGAAGGGCCAUCGCUCAACGGAUAAAAGGUACUCCGGGGAUAACAGGCUGAUACCGCCCAAGAGUUCAUAUCGACGGCGGUGUUUGGCACCUCGAUGUCGGCUCAUCACAUCCUGGGGCUGAAGUAGGUCCCAAGGGUAUGGCUGUUCGCCAUUUAAAGUGGUACGCGAGCUGGGUUUAGAACGUCGUGAGACAGUUCGGUCCCUAUCUGCCGUGGGCGCUGGAGAACUGAGGGGGGCUGCUCCUAGUACGAGAGGACCGGAGUGGACGCAUCACUGGUGUUCGGGUUGUCAUGCCAAUGGCACUGCCCGGUAGCUAAAUGCGGAAGAGAUAAGUGCUGAAAGCAUCUAAGCACGAAACUUGCCCCGAGAUGAGUUCU